rnacentral:pre_miRNA from 1 species
AAAGUACUCCCUCCGUUCCGAAUUACUUGUCUUGAAUUUGUCUAGAUACGAAUGUAUCUAGACUCAUUUUAGUGCUAGAUACCUCCGUAUCUAGACAAAUCUAAGACAAGUAAUUCGGAACGGAGGGAGUAUAAU